UCAGUGAGCGGCGAAGAGACGAGCAGUGCAGGCCGGAGAGGAAAGGGAUAAGGCGAAGGGUUUCUCGACAUCUUUUCCAUUAGAAACACGGAAUGAUUCAUCGCCAUCCACCAUGUGGAUCUCAGAUCGAAUGCAUCGUGAAAGCCAACUGUCGAUCCAUCUCAACCACAAACCAGAAAGAUCUGAAAACCAUCUGCUGCAAACCCCCCACAAGUUGGGCUUUCAGCUUUUCCUCCGUGAAAGGAGACAACUUUGGAAGCCAACAAAGGGAUUCACUGGUUUGUGUUAGAAAAUUUAUUGUAUAUUGAUGAAAAGGAUGAUGGCUGCAAAAGAGAAAAAAGAAACUGAAAGUGAAUGGUGAGAUGAGGAGUAAAGCUUUGGUUGGAUAUGAUGUAGCAUUAUUCUCAUCUCUGAGCUCUGAUGGGGCCUAUGAAUUGCCUUCAUGGAUAUAUGUUAGUUGGGCGGGCAAAUGGGGGAGAUUUCCAUGUCCAUUUGGCUUUGGUGUUCCUUGGUUUUAACAAGACACGCAAGCAUUGUACUUGGAUGGAACAAAGACGGAAGUAAAGAGAUCUUAUGCUAUAUUGCAAAAGAAAACAAGCGUAUAUAAUAUCCAGAAUCACUGAAAGAGAUCAGAUGACUUGAAGGAAAUCUCCUAACACACCACCAUUUAAAUGAUCUUCUUCUGAGGCUGCUUCUUUGGGAAGAAAUAGGUAGUGAUUGAAAGAAAGUGUGCAAUCACAAUGAAGGCUCCUCAAGUUAUUCUACUUGAACCUUGUCUCAUGUUUGUCUUUCAUCAGGAUUAUUUGACUUUCUAAGCUUCAUGGUAAAUGUUUAUUUCUAAUAAACUUAAAAUAAUGGUAAAUGCUGAGAAUUUCUCACAACCCACAUAUUAGGUUUAAGCUAUGACUGAUCUUUGGACAUCUUCAUGGGCUUGUGAUAUGUUUUGGCUUUAACUUUCUAGAGAAGCCUAGUUGCAAUGGAGUUUGUGUACUCAUAUAUGACCAAGAUUGAUGUAAAACAAAGUACGAAAGUAGAGAGAAAAAGAGGAGAAGAGAAAGAAAGAAAAAUGUGAGAUAAGAGAGGAAAGUAAGAGACUAGAAAAGAUACAAUUUUUUUCAUUCAAAUCUGAAAUGCUUGAAUAAGCUCUUCUAUUUAUAGGGGUUUAGAAGCCUUGAUACAAUUAAUGAAGACAAUAAUUCCCAAGAAUAAUCUCCUAGGGAAUUAGUAUAUUUUUAGAAAUUCAAAUAUAACUUCUAGAAUACUUAAACGGUAAAUGAGUGCACUUAAUACACAAGUGCACUUAGUACAAAAAGAGUCUACAGAAAGAUCAAAAUAUAUUUUUUUUUUCAACAUAAUUUUUAGAAUUUCUAGAUCAAAUAAUUGAUGACUUUUUUGUUGAUUUCCUUAUCUAGAAUAAAAUUUUCUUAAAUCCUUUGUAAAACUAAAUGGUUUUCCAUCAAAUAUACUUUGGAAAGUUCAAAAUGAGAAAAGCUGGAUCUCCUGAGAUAUGCAUCCAGUUCCUGUCACAUUUGUGUAUUGUUUGCUUGCAUGAGUUGCAAAUAGAUAUAAUCUGCACUAGUUGUGUUUACAAAAGCACAUGUGCUACUGUCUUUUCCUGUUCCGAAAGAUUCAAUCAUGCAGUCUAAUUAAUUCUUGCUAUGCCUCCAACUUCUUGUUUACUACUUGAUUUUUCUAUCAGUCAUCUAAAGCUUCAUCUUUAGUGGAACCAAUUGUCACCAUGUAUGCCAUGCAGAGCAGCAUGAUCCUCCACUUAAGCUUGGUUUUGCCUCUAAGCUACCAUCUAUCUCUCUGUUUAUGUAUUUACAGAUUGUUUGUACUUGCUAGUGGUAGGACCUAUCAUACAAUUUCAACAUCACAUUGGUUUCAUCAUAUAUUUAAUAUCUUUGAUCACUGUUCUGCGUUGGCUAUAAACUAUCUUUAAAUAUUCUUGCUAAAUGUGGCUGCAUAUUUGCUCGCUCAACUCCACUGAGACUAGAAUGAAGCCUUUCAUGUGCUCCACAUUUGAGAGGUGAAAUCCAUAGAUAUAACAGUUUGAUAUUGUAAAUGGAACUCCAACGCAGUGAAAGUUCUGAAGCUGAAACCUUUAUAGCACUCACAAGAGGACAUGGAGAAUUUCUACAAGCUUGGAGGAUGAGUAAGAUUCCACUGGAAGAUAACAUGGCCAGAACGUUACGGAACACAUGACCAGAAGCAGCUCUCCCUUGCAAGAAAUCUCUCAUGCUGCACAAGCUAAGUAAUCUUCCCUUGAUUAAAUGUCACAUUCAAAAACCUUGUGUUUGUGAUCAGUCUCAGAUGAAAAGGAUUAAGGCAGGAAGGAAAGGUUUAUAACUGAUAUGUCCUACCUGCAAGUCUCAGAACUCCACCGGGAGGGAAAGGAAAUCACUUUAUGAAUUGUAUUAUUUGAUGCCUCUGAUUCUGCUCAUUAAAGCUGCAAACAUCAAUCAGAAAUUUGACGUCUGAACUGACAACCUCUUCAUUGGCAUGCAUGGGAAAGGUCUCAUAGCAUUUCUGCAGAAUCUACCCAUUGAUCCUAUUUUUAAUGGUUUCUUGAAACCAGUUGCAGAAAUCUGGUGCCACUCAAGUAGUCAGUCAUCGAUUACCAGCUUAUUAUACUGAAUCAGCACAGAUUGAAGCUUUCUAUAACCAAUGCACUGAGAUAUGUCAACAAUUUUUUGAAGGACUUGAUGACCCACCAGAGUAGGGACUAAUGACCUGCUUCAAUUUCCACGGGCCACAUGUAAUGGAGGUUCAGGUCUUCAGAUUUCCUUGCACAGAUUGCGGUUUCCACAACAGCUACCUUUCCUUGUUGGUUGCUGUCACAGUAGUAGUGGUUUUCCUUGCUUUUGUACUGGACUGGAGCACCGAGCACGCCAUUGCUUGUGGCGGGCCCAACCCCCCAUUGUGCUGCCAUUCCCUGCUUUUGAUCUGCACUAUAUGUGUAUCAAGAGGUUUGCCAAACAUUUAUUGCAACUGUGUUCAUAAACAAUGAUGUGCACCAAAAGAUCUUUGGUCUUCUUGUGUCUUGUGGUGUAUAUGGCUGGCUCUGCAUCCUGGCUACAGUACACAUGUUCUCAUUUAACAAGGAAGAAGAAAGACACUGCAAAAAGUAGGGAGAUGACAGCACACACUCCAAAUUCUGAGAAGAAUGGAGAAGGUUGACAAUAGGAUGCUACCUUUGCUUUCUUGCACUAUAUAAGUUCAUGACCACCAACAAUUUGGCCGUGCCAGAGUUGGGGUAAGAGGAAGUUUCCUGCACUCAUGGUUCAGACGAAGGCUUUGAAUCAUCUCCUAACACUGCUGCUGUUCCUUUCAUUCAUUCUCUCUCUGGAUUCAGCUCCUCUUUCAAGACGCCUUGCAUUAAGGAAUCAAGAUGAAACAGCAAUCAAGGCAGCAGAACAGGUGAUCAACAAACCAAUGCUUUUUGAGGAAGGGGUUCCUGUGAAUGGUAGAAUGGACAUCGAACUCGAUGACUACCCAGGCUCUGGAGCCAACAGCCGCCAUGAUCCCAAGAACCCUGUAAAACCUUAAAUCCAUCUUUAGGUGGAAGAAGGAUUAGCUAGUGAUCAUCGCAAAGUGGCUUUGGAUUUGUAUUGCAUACCUUAUCAUGUACUACUAUUGGUACCAAACCUGAUGGGUUGAUGUAUUAUGUAACAUUGGCGCUUAAGCGAUCAUAUCAACCUGCUCUCAAUUGUCUCUUUUCAUAA